UACGUAGGUGACAAGCGUUGUCCGGAUUUACUGGGCGUAAAGAGCGCGCAGGCGGUCGUUCAAGUCGAGUGUGAAAGCCCCCGGCUCAACUGGGGAGGGUCAUUCGAUACUGAUCGACUCGAAGGCAGGAGAGGGAAGUGGAAUUCCCGGUGUAGUGGUGAAAUGCGUAGAUAUCGGGAGGAACACCCGUAGCGAAGGCGGCACUCUGGGCCGGUACUGACGCUGAGGAGCGAAAGCGUGGGGAGCAAACAGGG
rnacentral:rRNA from 1 species